rnacentral:other from 1 species
CUUUUCCUGCGAUGUACGAUGUUCUCUAUGUCUUAAACCGAUACGAAUGAAUAGGGAGUUUCUCGUCUAUGCACAACAACACGCCUUUGUAUAAGAGAAGGACGUUGAAAGGCUAAGAAAGGACACCCACCUACGAGAGUAGGUUUUAAGACAUCUUGAAUAGCGGCAAAGUGGGGCUACA